rnacentral:rRNA from 1 species
CCUACGGGGGGCUGCAGUGAGGAAUAUUGGUCAAUGGACGAGAGUCUGAACCAGCCAAGUAGCGUGAAGGAUGACUGCCCUGUGGGUUGUAAACUUCUUUUGUAUGGGAAUAAAAUGUUCCACGUGUGGGAGGUUGUAUGUACCAUAAGAAUAAGGAUCGGCUAACUCCGUGCCAGCAGCCGCGGUAAUACGGAGGAUCCGAGCGUUAUCCGGAUUUAUUGGGUUUAAAGGGUGCGUAGGUGGAUUGUUAAGUCAGUGGUGAAAGUCUGCGGCACAACCGUAAAAUUGCAGUUGAAACUGGCAGUCUUGAGUACAGUAGAGGUGGGCGGAAUUCGUGGUGUAGCGGUGAAAUGCUUAGAUAUCACGAAGAACUCCGAUUGCGAAGGCAGCUCACUGGCCUGCCACUGACACUGAGGCUCGAAAGUGUGGGUAUCAAACAGGAUUAGAUACCCCGGUAGUC